CUGGAAUCAGCUGGCCACUUCGUCACCAGCAGGAGUGAACUCCACUCAUUCGGACUCACUGCUCUCCACCCCUUAUGGGAGGGAGCACACAGACUUUUGCAUUCUGGUAACCAACUGAUCCUACCCGGACCCAUGAUGCAUAACUCAGCUGGUCCUGUGGCGCACACCCAGAGGCCGACUCAAUGCAUGAAGACUGUUUUCCACACCCCUAUGAUUUCAUCCCCAACCAAGCAGCAGCAUCCAUUCCCUAGCCCCCUGCCCACCAAAUUAUCCAUAAAAACUCUGGCUUCUGAGUUCUCAGCAAAACUGAUUUUAGUAAUAACUCCAGUUCUUCCACUUGGC
rnacentral:lncRNA from 10 species